rnacentral:rRNA from 1 species
GAUGAACGCUGGCGGCGUGCCUAAUACAUGCAAGUCGAACGAAACUUCUUUAUCACCGAGUGCUUGCACUCACCGAUAAAGAGUUGAGUGGCGAACGGGUGAGUAACACGUGGGCAACCUGCCCAAAAGAGGGGGAUAACACUUGGAAACAGGUGCUAAUACCGCAUAACCAUAGUUACCGCAUGGUAACUAUGUAAAAGGUGGCUAUGCUACCGCUUUUGGAUGGGCCCGCGGUGCAUUAGCUAGUUGGUGGGGUAAAGGCUUACCAAGGCAAUGAUGCGUAGCCGAACUGAGAGGUUGAUCGGCCACAUUGGGACUGAGACACGGCCCAAACUCCUACGGGAGGCAGCAGUAGGGAAUCUUCCACAAUGGGCGAAAGCCUGAUGGAGCAACGCCGCGUGGGUGAAGAAGGUCUUCGGAUCGUAAAACCCUGUUGUUAGAGAAGAAAGUGCGUGAGAGUAACUGUUCACGUUUCGACGGUAUCUAACCAGAAAGCCACGGCUAACUACGUGCCAGCAGCCGCGGUAAUACGUAGGUGGCAAGCGUUAUCCGGAUUUAUUGGGCGUAAAGGGAACGCAGGCGGUCUUUUAAGUCUGAUGUGAAAGCCUUCGGCUUAACCGGAGUAGUGCAUUGGAAACUGGGAGACUUGAGUGCAGAAGAGGAGAGUGGAACUCCAUGUGUAGCGGUGAAAUGCGUAGAUAUAUGGAAGAACACCAGUGGCGAAAGCGGCUCUCUGGUCUG